rfam:Schistosoma mansoni strain Puerto Rico chromosome 1, complete genome
AUCCAGCUGACUAGUCCCAAAUAGGACGAAACGUGCGUCCUGGAU